rnacentral:rRNA from 1 species
CGCGUGGGUGGUAGUGCAAGUCUGGGGUGGAAUCCCAGGGCUUAACCCUGGAACUGCCUUGGAAACUGUAUUACUUGAGUCAGUGAGGGGAGGGUAGAAUUCCUGGUGUAGCGGUGAAAUGCGUAGAUAUCAGGAGGAAGGCCUGUGGCGAAGGCGGCCCUCUGGCGCUGAACUGACACUGAGGCGCGAAAGCGUGGGGAGCAAACAGGAUUAGAUACCCUGGUAGUCCACGCCCUAAACGGUGGGUACUAGGUGUAGGGCUCGUAAGGGUUCUGUGCCGAAGCGAAAGCAUUAAGUACCCCGCCUGGGGAGUACGGCCGCAAGGUUGAA